AGAGGCUACAGCCCAACACCAUCACCUAAACCAAGGUGGAUUACGGUAGGGGCAGAGGGAAUUUUUGGUGGAGCGGUGAAAUGCGUAGAGAUCGGAAAGAACACCAACAGCGAAAGCACUCUGCUUGGCUGACACUGACACUGAGAGACGAAAGCUAGGGGAGCGAAUGGGAUUUGAUACCCCAGUAGUCAAUUUGUCACUAUAUUAAGCAAAGAUUACUGUUUCCUGUCCACAAGUGGGUAAUGAAGGUUCUAUCAAGUAUUCC
rnacentral:ncRNA from 1 species